rnacentral:rRNA from 1 species
UUGAAGAGUUUGAUCAUGGCUCAGAUUGAACGCUGGCGGCAGGCCUAACACAUGCAAGUCGAACGGUAACAGGAAGCAGCUUGCUGUUUUGCUGACGAGUGGCGGACGGGUGAGUAAUGUCUGGGAAACUGCCUGAUGGAGGGGGAUAACUACUGGAAACGGUAGCUAAUACCGCAUAACGUCGCAAGACCAAAGAGGGGGACCUUAGGGCCUCUUGCCAUCGGAUGUGCCCAGAUGGGAUUAGCUAGUAGGUGGGGUAACGGCUCACCUAGGCGACGAUCCCUAGCUGGUCUGAGAGGAUGACCAGCCACACUGGAACUGAGACACGGUCCAGACUCCUACGGGAGGCAGCAGUGGGGAAUAUUGCACAAUGGGCGCAAGCCUGAUGCAGCCAUGCCGCGUGUAUGAAGAAGGCCUUCGGGUUGUAAAGUACUUUCAGCGGGGAGGAAGGGAGUAAAGUUAAUACCUUUGCUCAUUGACGUUACCCGCAGAAGAAGCACCGGCUAACUCCGUGCCAGCAGCCGCGGUAAUACGGAGGGUGCAAGCGUUAAUCGGAAUUACUGGGCGUAAAGCGCACGCAGGCGGUUUGUUAAGUCAGAUGUGAAAUCCCCGGGCUCAACCUGGGAACUGCAUCUGAUACUGGCAAGCUUGAGUCUCGUAGAGGGGGGUAGAAUUCCAGGUGUAGCGGUGAAAUGCGUAGAGAUCUGGAGGAAUACCGGUGGCGAAGGCGGCCCCCUGGACGAAGACUGACGCUCAGGUGCGAAAGCGUGGGGAGCAAACAGGAUUAGAUACCCUGGUAGUCCACGCCGUAAACGAUGUCGACUUGGAGGUUGUGCCCUUGAGGCGUGGCUUCCGGAGCUAACGCGUUAAGUCGACCGCCUGGGGAGUACGGCCGCAAGGUUAAAACUCAAAUGAAUUGACGGGGGCCCGCACAAGCGGUGGAGCAUGUGGUUUAAUUCGAUGCAACGCGAAGAACCUUACCUGGUCUUGACAUCCACGGAAGUUUUCAGAGAUGAGAAUGUGCCUUCGGGAACCGUGAGACAGGUGCUGCAUGGCUGUCGUCAGCUCGUGUUGUGAAAUGUUGGGUUAAGUCCCGCAACGAGCGCAACCCUUAUCCUUUGUUGCCAGCGGUCCGGCCGGGAACUCAAAGGAGACUGCCAGUGAUAAACUGGAGGAAGGUGGGGAUGACGUCAAGUCAUCAUGGCCCUUACGACCAGGGCUACACACGUGCUACAAUGGCGCAUACAAAGAGAAGCGACCUCGCGAGAGCAAGCGGACCUCAUAAAGUGCGUCGUAGUCCGGAUUGGAGUCUGCAACUCGACUCCAUGAAGUCGGAAUCGCUAGUAAUCGUGGAUCAGAAUGCCACGGUGAAUACGUUCCCGGGCCUUGUACACACCGCCCGUCACACCAUGGGAGUGGGUUGCAAAAGAAGUAGGUAGCUUAACCUUCGGGAGGGCGCUUACCACUUUGUGAUUCAUGACUGGGGUGAAGUCGUAACAAGGUAACCGUAGGGGAACCUGCGGUUGGAUCACCUCCUU